rnacentral:rRNA from 1 species
AUGGCAGCCGUCCCCUCUGUUGCCGACGGCCGCAAUGUCACGGCGGUGACGGGGGCGGUGAGCGAGGUGCCGAUGGUGACGGGCACGCAUGAGUUCACGAUUCGCGAGUACAGCCGUACCAAGGGCAUGGGCGUCGGCAAGUCGAUCCUGUCGCAGCACUUCUCCGUCGAUGGCCGCCGGUGGCACAUCCGCUUCUACCCGGACGGCUACAGCACGGCGGAUGGCGGGUGGAUCGCCUUGUACGCGCAGACGCUCCACAAGCCGCAGUUCCGGCCCGUGAGCGCCGAGUUCACCUUCCAGCUCCUCGGCCCCGACGGCGACGUCCGCCACACGCGGCGGUCCGACCGGGCCUGCAAGUACGACACCUUGUGCAGCAGCUGGGGCAUCCGGCGCUACAUCACCCGGGCGCACCUCGAGAGCGCGGCGCUGGGCGCCAUCCACGCCGACUCCAUCACCGUGCGCUGCACCGUGACGAUCCACAAGGCGCGGAGGAGGAGCCUCGCCGUCAACCGCCCGGGCCUCGUCAAGAUGCCACCGCCGCCGCCGUCGAACCACGGGGAGAACGCCAUCCGGUUCCUCGCCGGCAGGAAGGCCCCCUUCGACGUGCGGUUCGAGGUGGACGGCGAGGUGUUCGAGGCGCACCGGAUGGUGGUGGCCGCGCAGUCGUCGUGGUUGGAGGGCCUCCUCUACGGCCACGGCCGCGAGGCGGGGAAAGAUCUACUGCUCGAAGUAGGCGGCGGCAUUGUCACCGCGGAGGCGUUCAGGGGCGUGCUCCACUUCAUCUACACCGACGAGCUCCCCGGCGAUGCGACCAAGGGGCGGGGGUCGUACGAUGUGACGCUGCGGCUGUUCGAGGCCGCCGACUACUACCUGAUCGACAGGCUGAAGCUGAUGUGCGCGUGCAGGCUGGGCGACUUCAUCAAGGACUCCACCGUGGAUACGCUCAUGGAGAUCGCGGAGGCCUACUCGUGCAAGGACCUCCAGGAGGCGUGCCGGAACUUCGCGGCGUGCAGGGGGUUGAGAUUGCUGCCUAACCUAGGAAACAUACAGAGCGCGAUAAGGAAGAGGUUAACGUCCAGCGGCGCCGCUGCUCCGGCGACGAGGAGGAUCAUGGACAUGGCGUCCACGAGUGGCGCUGACACUGAGUGA